CCUACGGGGUGCAGCAGUGAGGAAUAUUGGUCAAUGGACGGAAGUCUGAACCAGCCAUGCCGCGUGCAGGAAGACGGCUCUAUGAGUUGUAAAUUGUUUUUGUACAAGGGUAAACCUGAAUAUGUGUAUUCAGCUGAAAGUACUGUACGAAUAAGGAUCGGCCAACUCCGUGCCAGCAGCCGCGGUAAUACGGAGGAUACAAGCGUUAUACGGAUUUAUGGGGUUUAAAGGGUGCGUAGGUGGAUUGAUAAGUUAGAGGUGAAAUGUCCGGGCUUAACUCGGGAACUGCCUCGAAUACUGUUGAUCUAGAGGGUAGGUGAGGUAGGCAGAAUGUAUGGUGUAGCGGUGAAAUGCGUAGAGAUCAGACAGAACACCGAUUGCGAAGGCAGCUUACCAGUCUAUAUCUGACGUUGAGGUGCGAAAGCGUGGGGAGCAAACAGGAUUAGAUACCCUUGUAGUC
rnacentral:rRNA from 1 species